rnacentral:tRNA from 1 species
CACUAAGAAGCUAAACCGGGCUAACAGCGUCAGCCUUUUAAGCUAGAGAAUUGGUGUGCCUCACCACCCACUGUGA